AUUGAACGCUGGCGGCAGGCCUAACACAUGCAAGUCGAGCGGCUGAAGGGAGCUUGCUCCUGGAUUCAGUGGCGGACGGGUGAGUAAUGCCUCGGAAUCUGCCUGGUAGUGGGGGAUAACGUCCCGAAACGGGCGUUAAUACCGCAUACGUCCUGAGGGAGAAAUUGGGUGAUCUUCGGACCUCGCGCUAUCGGAUCAGCCUAGGUCAGAUUAGCUAGUUGGUGGGGUAAAGGCCUACCAAGGCGACGAUCCGUAACUGGUCUGAGAGGAUGAUCAGCCACACUGGAACUGAGACACGGCCCAGACUCCUACGGGAGGCAGCAGUGGGGAAUAUUGGACAAAGGGCGAAAGCCUGAUCCAGCAAUGCCGCGUGUGUGAAGAAGGUCUUCGGAUUGUAAAGCACUUUUGGCGGGAACGAAAAGGAGUGAGCUAAUACCACGGUGCGAUGACGGUACCAGCAGAAUAAGCACCGGCUAACUACGUG
rnacentral:rRNA from 1 species